rnacentral:rRNA from 1 species
AUUGAACGCUAGCGGGAUGCCUUACACAUGCAAGUCGAACGGAGUGGCGAACGGGGGAGGAAUGUAUCGGAACGUGCCCAGUAGCGGGGGAUAACUACGCGAAAGCGUAGCUGAUACCGCAAACUAUUGGAGUGACAGAUAGCGGAUUAGCUAGUUGGUGGGGGAACGGCUAACCAAGGCGACGAUCCGUAGCUGGUUUGAGAGGACGACCAGCCACACUGGGACUGAGACACGGCCCAGACUCCUACGGGAGGCAGCAGUGGGGAAUUUUGGACAAUGGGCGAAACCCUGAUCCAGCCAUCCCGCGUGUGUGAUGAAGGCCUUCGGGUUGUAAAGCACUUUUGGCAGGAAAGCGGUACCUGCAGAAUAAGCACCGGCUAACUACGUGCCAGCAGCCGCGGUAAUAC